CAUAGGCUUCACCAGAACUCGAAAGGGAGCCUUGACACAAAAAGAGAUUAAGAAUUCUUGACUAAACUCUAGGCCGCAGAUGAUUUUAGGAACUGGUAAAAACGGAAGUGAGAUAAGGGCCAAUUGCUUGAGGAGAUGAAUGAUGUUUCUGGAAAAGAUGAAGCCCAGGAAAAUAUACAGAAUGGAAAUGUUUAGCUGAUGUGAAGCAGCAGCUACAACGUGGAGGCUAUGUGAGCCAACAAACAGCCAGCAAACACAUGAUCUUUCUGUAAGAUGGAGAGACAUGACAAGCAAAGGCAGCAUUGGUUUAGAGCACAAGCUCAUUUGCAAAACAUUAAAAAGAAUGUCAGAAGAUUAAAAGCAAU